UACGUAGGGGGCUAGCGUUGUCCGGAAUCACUGGGCGUAAAGCGAGUGUAGGCGGUGGUGGUAAGUCGGAUGUGAAAGCCCCCGGGCUCAACCCGGGAAGUGCACUCGAUACUGCCACGCUAGAGUAUCGGAGAGGUUGGUGGAAUUCUCGGUGUAGAGGUGAAAUUCGUAGAUAUCGAGAGGAACACCGGUGGCGAAGGCGGCCAACUGGACGAAUACAUGACGCUGGAGACUCGAAAGCGUGGGGAGCAAACAGG
rnacentral:rRNA from 1 species